UACGUAGGUGGCAAGCGUUAUCCGGAAUUACUGGGCGUAAAGCGCACGUAGGUGGCGACGUAAGUCGGGUGUGAAAGCCCCGGGCUCAACCUGGGAAUUGCAUUCGAGACUGCAUUGCUGGAGUACGGAAGAGGAGGGCGGAAUUCCCGGUGUAGCGGUGAAAUGCGUAGAUAUCGGGAGGAACAUCAGUGGCGAAGGCGGCCCUCUGGUCCAGUACUGACACUCAAGUGCGAAAGCGUGGGGAGCAAACAGG
rnacentral:rRNA from 1 species